rnacentral:rRNA from 1 species
UCUAAGCAGAGCCCUUGAAUGGUAAAGCCGCAAAUGGCUCAUUACAACAGCCAUAGUUUAUUGGGUCUAAUUUUACUUGGAUAUCUGAGCUAAUCGUUGAGCUAAUACACGCACAAAAGCUCUAACCGCAAGGAAAGAGCGCAUUUAUUAGAACAAAACCAAUCGGAUUUCGGUCCGUCCAUUGGUGAAUCUAAAUAACUCAGCUGAUCGCAUGGUCUCGAACCAGCGACAAACCUUUCAAAUGUCUGUCUUAUCACCUUUCGAUGGUAGUUUAUACGACUACCAUGGGUUUUACGGGUAACGGAGAAUAAGGGUUCGACUCCGGAGAGGGAGCCUGAGAAACGGCUACCACAUCCAAGGAAGGCAGCAGGCACGCAAAUUACCCACUCCCGGCACGGGGAGGUAGUGACGAAAAAUAACGAGGUGGUUCUCUAUGAGGCCCACCAUCGGAAUGGGUACAAUCUAAA